UUCCUGUUCAUGCAUUCUCUGCUAAAAAAACAACUCGAUGGGCUGCAAAUCAAUAGAGAGAACUAGAGUGAGAUGAGCGAGACAACUGCAUCUUUUUUAACACCUAUGGAGAGUAAAAUCUCUUUCAUGUUGAGCAUCCUUCUCUGCUAAAAGUAAGUUUUUCGUACUCAUGACAUGCUAACUUUUAUUGAAUUAUCUUACAGAAAAUGAUUUAUUUAGAAGCACACAACUACAUCUCUUCAGUCUUUGAGCGCAACACAACAUCUACAUCAUAACUGAUCGGUCUACUGCCGUUUGAAGAUCAAUUUCAAGCCAAUUCUUUAGUGAAUUACACCCAUAAUGCUGCCAAGGCAUUUGUUAUACAUGGAAUCAACCUGUAUGGCGCAGUUUAAAUCAUGCAACCUGGAAAUGACAACAACAUUGGGUUCUUGGAAAGACCAUGCCAUGCCGAUGAAAUUGCUGCCAUCAAAAGGUGCCAACUUCCAUAUGUGAUAUAUCUUUAAAUCUCAAACUGCAGAAGACU
rnacentral:lncRNA from 1 species